AGUGGGACAUUAUGCUGUAUACCAGAAAUUGACACAUUGUAAGUGACUAUUCUUCAGUUAAAAAAAAAGAAAUAACACCUUUACAAAUACUCUGUAGAUUUUUCCUUUCCACUGUGUGCAUGUAGGAUGGAAACAACAUGUACUAGGAUUUCAAAAGAAACACUAGGCCAUGUGCUAAAAAGAAAUGUCUAGUAGCACAUCCCAUACCAGCCUUUGUGUCAUUAAAGCAGCUGAUCUAGUUUGGGCCAAAGAGACAAGUCAAACACAUGAAAGUUGUAAAGAAGAGAACAGCUGAAGGUAUAAAUAGUUCAUGGGAAAUUGAAUUUCCUGCUUUCAAGACAAUGGAUUAGUCAACUGAGUGACAAGGCUAAAUAAAGGUCUGAAAUCUUUCAAGCCAUGCAGCUUAAAUGAAUGAGUUUUCCUAGUGAAAGAUACGUACUGUGCCCAGAUUCACUGUGAAAAUUCUCUGCUUUUAUUAAGAGGGGUAGGACUGUUCAAUGUGGCUUGAAAUCUAUAGGAUUCUCUUCUACAGUUUCUCAGUUCUAUUUUUCUUAAAGGGUAGUGCUAAACUAUAUAAAAAUUACCCAGGUUCGUGAAUGAAAUUAUUCCUAGGCCCUUAAAUUUAAAAAAAAGAAAUGUUACUGUGGUAUUAAUACUUGAAAUGAGCAGCAUGGAAGAAUGCAGGGUCCAAUUCACCCAACACACAAAAAAGCCUCAGAAACCAAAUGACAGUAACACUGAGUGGCAAAAUUCUCACCAAGUUCCGAUUCUUGACACUCUGAUCUCUCUUAGAUUGCAGUUCAGUAUGUACAUCUUGAAUGACAUCAUCAAGGAUUUCAUUCAUCUUCUCAAGUGUUUUGAUAUCAUCCUACAAGAAAACACAGAGGGCAUCUCAUGGCCAGUGAGGGAUAAAACACGCCACAGAAAUCCAGGAGAAAGACCUUUGAUUUGAGUGAAUUUUCCAAUCAAUAUGCAUGAGGAUAUUUCACUUACAAUGACAGGUCUGUUAUAAUUAACAAGUCAGGGGAUCUGUUCUCAAUUUUAGAACUUUGCACUCCAAACUCUGCCACUUGGACCAGUUAAUUUAAGUCAUCUGCAAAGCUCGUUUAUACAGAAUAAUUUGUUCCCGACAACGUUGGAUAACUGACGCAUCUCUCAAAUAAGCUCUUGUCCUGCUCUCUCCUAAGUUAACGUAUUAACAGAUCCUAAAAUAGAAACCAUGUCCAAGGGUGCCUGGGACAUCAAUGUGCUUAGAAAUGAGAGGAUGUGACAGAGUAAACAGAGGAUGCUUUUUGCCAGGACCAUUUCACUUCACUACAGUGAGUUAUGUAUAGCAGUUACCUAUGCCCUAGUGUUGGUCUUAAUCUAACCACAUCUUCAAGUUUCAUCUUGGUUUGUUAAUAAAAGACUGCUGCACAUGUUCAGAGAGUAUAAUGCUUUUCCAAAGAAGGUAUUAUAUGAGCACAACAAGACAUAAUCAAAUCAGCAAGUUUUGUAAACAGAAAUGCAUUAGAAAAAACUUUAAAAUUACCUUGUCCCCUAUAGAAAAGCAUGUUUCUUUUUUCUAUUUUAUGAUAUUUUCAUGCAACACUUUUAAUUUGUUCUUACUGUACAUAGAAGCAUAUACCUUUUAAGCUACACUGUAUAGAAACUCAUGGUUUCUGCUUUUUCCAUUUGACAUUAACCUUGUCCAUUUCUCUUUUUUGCAUUUUUGAAUUUUUUUAGGUAGAAUUAUUACAAUUUGACUGCACAUAUACAAUAUACUGCAUGUAAAAACAUACGUACAAUAUACUGCACAUAUUUUUAAAAUUUACAUAUAUGUAUUAUUGUUUCUAAGAACAGUUUAGAGCUUUAGCUUUUUUUUUUCAGUAGAGAAAAAUUCUUAAUGCAUUCUUGUAAGAUUGGUCAAACACAAGUAAAAAUAAAUCCAUUUAUCCAAAGAAUAGUCUUUAGAGAAAUAAUUUAAAAUAAAAUUGCAUGCACUCUUAUUUUUUUUAUAAUGGCAAUCAAGGGGUUAAACUAAAAAUGAGAGAAAAUGCUUUUUUUUUUUGUCCAGAAACUCAAAAUAUACAUGUGUGAUUAUACCCUCGGGAUAAAGGACAUUGUUCAGUUAUUGAAGGGAAAAGUUUCAUUAGUGUAUUAAUGAUUUGGGGACAAUUGGAUAAUUAUUUGGGAAGAUAACAUAAGUUUCCCAUUUCCUUUAUGUCCUGUAUGUAUAGAACAUAUAGAAAAGUCCACUGAUCAUCCAGGGAUGGAACUGAUCUAUCCCAGCGUAUAUCCACAGAUCACGAGCCACAUAGGAAAAGGUUCAUAGAUGUGACAACAGAAAACUCAAAAAACUUUGUGUUACUCCUUUGAAAAAUGACUACUCCCCAAAAAAACUUACUGGGAAAAUGUUUUUAAUAUGUGCAAUUAACAAAUGAUCAGUACCCAUAGUGUGUUGUGUCUGUAAAGGGCUCCUACUGAUCAGUAAGAAAAGGCAAGCUUCAUUAAGGAUCAGGAGAUACAACAUAAAGGGUCACAUGUAUUCAGCAUGCAUAGGAAUAAUUUGCCGAAUUGACAAUCUCAUAAAGAUGAGGACCGUCCAGAGUGGGGGUGUGAGAAAUGGGUUCUCAUGUCUGGUUGGAAGGAUUCCAGAAUGUCCAGAUGUGAUCUCUACACUGGCAAUUCCACAUCUAGGAGUUUAUUCCUGGGAUCGUCACAUAUGUGCUCAAAGACGUAAGUAAAGGAUGUUCAUAAUUUUCAGUGGGGAAAAUUUGGGAUUGAACUAAGUGGUCACCAAUAAUGAGUUAAAUAAAUGAUGGCCAGUCAACUUGACAGGCUUCUGUACAGUUGGGAAAAGAUAUGUAGUUUUAUAUACAAUGAGAUAGAAAUGUUUGGUCAUAUGUUAAGUAUAGAAAUACUGAUUCUCUUUAUAAAAAUAUAAAAUACAUGUCUACAUGCAUUGGUAACAGGUCUUUGGAAGAUGUACACCAAGUAUCUCUUCGUAUAGUGAGAGCUGCUUUGAAUCAGUGAUGCAGUUAUGAGAGAUUUUCAUUUUCUUUAACUUCUAUCCUUUCUUUUCUUUCCUUUUUAAAAAGAAAUUACAGUGUGCAUGUGUUAGUGGCAAAUGUAAUUAGACUGUUGUCUUAUCCUUACCAAACACCAGACUUGACUAGAGUGGGCUCAUUAAAUAUUAAUUAAAAUUUCCUAGUGAAAUGAAAACAACACAGACAGCUCACAAGAUGGAUGCACUUUAAAGCACUUUUUUGAGAUAUAAAGUAACUCUCAAAUUAUGGCCACACUGGACACUUUGAGGCUGAGGGAGUAAACUUUCUGUGGGUCCCAUUCUCCUUUUAAGUGAUUAAUUUCUUGUAAUUGAAAAGCUGGCCAAUGCAAUCUAGCUGACACUUACAAACUCUCUGAAGAUGAUGACGGAUGAGUUUAUAACUGAAACUCGGGUGAAUUACAACUUUUCUUCUCUCAUGGCUUGAUAUCUGGAAGGUCUGAAGGAUGAGCCCUAGGAAGUGUGGAAAGGAAGAUGAUUCAACCAUCAAGAGAGCCAAAUUUGCAUGCUCCAUAUGAUUUCUCUGAUGCCUAAACAUCAUACUUUAUACUAAUAAAAAUUCGGUUUAAACUACAGGUCAUUGUGAAUAGUGAGUGAGAUAUUUUUGCACAGGCAUUAUCUUUGUAUUCGAGGUUUUAAAAUUUAAAAACCUCAUUCUAGUUUUAGUAAAGCCAUUUAAAAAUGAACCCAAGUUGAAAGAAAUCAGCUAUAUUGUGAAACACAUCAUAUCCCCGAAUACAGCAGCUGCAGUCAGAAGCGUUUGCUCCGAUGUUACCUCGAAACAUCGGAUAGUUUUUAGAAUAGUACUUAGAGCAGGACACCAAAACGGAAGUUACACUGUGAUUUAGUUCCCUGCAUGGAAUCGGGGUAGUUUCUAUGAAGAAUGCAAAACUUAAAAAAAGAAAAUACAUGAAUGAGCCGGUGUGUUUGUUGUCCAGCCAAAUCUUGCAAUGUAUUACAUAUGAAUGCUCUUUUAAUAAUAGUAUGUAGGUAAAAUAUGAAAAUGUUGUGUAUCAAUAUAAGAUAAUGAAUUUGAAGAAUGCGGGUCAUAGGUUCAGAUGGUAUGUGAAUUAACAGUUACAAGCCAGCAGGGGUUGCGGCUUCAGGGAAGGGAAAAAUGGGGUGACCUGGAGUAUAGACUGAGGGUGAGGACACUGAGGUGGGUCUGGGACAAUAGUUGGGAUUUAAUUCAAAGGCAGACCCUGGAGGUCUUGGAAUAGAUUCCAGAAACCCCAGGGAAAUUAUCAGCAACUCACCCAUCUACUUAGGAAGCAUUUUCUGUUAUCUCUGAUGAUUUAGGGAAAAGGGUUUAAUAUAACAUCCUUCAUCAUCUAAGUGUUUAAACAUUUUUCCUUACAAAUAAAUGAAUGAAUAAAAGCUGAACCAUCAGCCAGGCAGGGAACUAGCAUUUAAAGACACACAUUUCUUCUAUCUUCCUUCAUGAUCUUUGCUAUGGUAUUUACAGUUAUUCUUUAAAUGCUAGCACGGCAGAACUAAACCUGUUUAGAAUUUGCGACCAGCUGCUGUCUUCUUUGUUCCUUACAGAAGCCCUGGUGUAGGUCUGUUACCUUCCUUCUGUGAGUGAGGAGAUCCAGGAACAGAGAGGUUGACUUUCCUGGUCUUACAUGUCCUAGAAGACCUGAGGUUGGGUCCAUCCCUGACUCACUCACACCCUGUGGCCUUCUUACUGGAAACCUGAUUUGAAUCCAAUCUCUUGUAACUGAUGAGUCUUAACAUUGUACCUGAUUCAUGGCUGACAUUCUGGAAUGGGAACUAUGAGACAGCUCUCUGGUGCUAUUGCAAAAGUGCUUCAUCUUCAAGAAGAUUCAUAAGAAGGCUAUGGAAGCGGUGACAACAGUUACCACAUCAAAAUGACAGCUAUGUGAGGACACCGCCAUCUAACUCAAAACAAGCUGUCCUGUCCCGGGAGCCCUAGAUUAGGUAUUGAGAUAGAGGGUCAGUGCCCCAGCUCAGCCCUUAAGCAGUUUCCAAAGACAGACCAUUGCUCCUCUGCACCCCAAAAAAUUAUGGGAGUAAAAUCUCUGAGGGGGGAAUGAGACAGGAUGGAAGGGGGCAGGCAGAGCCAUUCAAGGAAUGACAGCAACUUAACACCAAAAUGGUGGAAGAUUCAACUCCCAGUUGGCCUU